GAUGAACGCUGGCGGCGUGCCUAAUACAUGCAAGUCGAGCGAACAGACGAGGAGCUUGCUCCUCUGACGUUAGCGGCGGACGGGUGAGUAACACGUGGAUAACCUACCUAUAAUACUGGGAUAACUUCGGGAAACCGGAGCUAAUACCGGAUAAUAUAUUGAACCGCAUGGUUCAAUAGUGAAAGACGGUUUUGCUGUCACUUAUAGAUGGAUCCGCGCCGCAUUAGCUAGUUGGUAAGGUAACGGCUUACCAAGGCGACGAUGCGUAGCCGACCUGAGAGGGUGAUCGGCCACACUGGAACUGAGACACGGUCCAGACUCCUACGGGAGGCAGCAGUAGGGAAUCUUCCGCAAUGGGCGAAAGCCUGACGGAGCAACGCCGCGUGAGUGAUGAAGGUCUUCGGAUCGUAAAACUCUGUUAUUGGGGAAGAACAAAUGUGUAAGUAACUAUGCACGUCUUGACGGUACCUAAUCAGAAAGCCACGGCUAACUACGUG
rnacentral:rRNA from 1 species